rnacentral:rRNA from 1 species
GUGUCAGCAGCCGCGGUAAUACGUAGGGUGCGAGCGUUAAUCGGAAUUACUGGGCGUAAAGCGUGCGCAGGCGGUUUGUUAAGUCUGAUGUGAAAGCCCCGGGCUCAACCUGGGAACUGCAUUGGAAACUGGCAAGCUCGAGUAUGGCAGAGGGGGGUGGAAUUCCGCGUGUAGCAGUGAAAUGCGUAGAGAUGCGGAGGAACACCGAUGGCGAAGGCAGCCCCCUGGGCCAAUACUGACGCUCAGGCACGAAAGCGUGGGGAGCAAACAGGAUUAGAAACCCUCGUAGUCC